rnacentral:rRNA from 1 species
UACAGAGGGGGCGAGCGUUGUUCGGAAUUACUGGGCGUAAAGGGCGCGUAGGCGGCCUUCUAAGUCGAACGUGAAAUCCCCGGGCUCAACCCGGGAACUGCGUCCGAUACUGGGAGGCUUGAAUCCGGGAGAGGGACGUGGAAUUCCAGGUGUAGCGGUGAAAUGCGUAGAUAUCUGGAGGAACACCGGUGGCGAAGGCGGCAUCCUGGACCGGUAUUGACGCUGAGGCGCGAAAGCCAGGGGAGCAAACGGG